GCAGCAGGCGCGCAAAUUACCCACUCCCGGCACGGGGAGGUAGUGACGAAAAAUAACGAUACGGGACUCAUCCGAGGCCCCGUAAUCGGAAUGAGUACACUCUAAACCCUUUAACGAGGAUCAAUUGGAGGGCAAGUCUGGUGCCAGCAGCCGCGGUAAUUCCAGCUCCAAUAGCGUAUAUUAAAGUUGUUGCGGUUAAAAAGCUCGUAGUCGAAGCUGUGUCUCGCGCCGCCGGUUCAUCGUUCGCGGUGUUAACUGGCGUGCCGCGGGACGUCCUGCCGGUGGGCGGCUCGCAAGGGCUCGCCCAAACAUAUCCCGCCGCGGUGCUCUUCAUUGAGUGUCGAGGAGGGCCGGCACGUUUACUUUGAACAAAUUAGAGUGCUUAAAGCAGGCUAAAAUUUCGCCUGAAUACUAGUGCAUGGAAUAAUGGAAUAGGACCUCGGUUCUAUUUUGUUGGUUUUCGGAACCCCGAGGUAAUGAUUAAUAGGAACGGAUGGGGGCAUUCGUAUUGCGACGUUAGAGGUGAAAUUCUUGGAUCGUCGCAAGACGGACAGAAGCGAAAGCAUUUGCCAAAAACGCUUUCAUUGAUCAAGAACGAAAGUUAGAGGUUCGAAGGCGAUCAGAUACCGCCCUAGUUCUAACCAUAAACGAUGCCAGCUAGCGAUCCGCCGACGUUCCUUCGAUGACUCGGCGGGCAGCUUCCGGGAAACCAAAGCUUUUGGGUUCCGGGGGAAGUAUGGUUGCAAAGCUGAAACUUAAAGGAAUUGACGGAAGGGCACCACCAGGAGUGGAGCCUGCGGCUUAAUUUGACUCAACACGGGAAACCUCACCAGGCCCGGACACCGGAAGGAUUGACAGAUUGAGAGCUCUUUCUUGAUUCGGUGGGUGGUGGUGCAUGGCCGU
rnacentral:rRNA from 1 species